GGAGAGAUACCCAAGUGGUCGAAGGGUCCGCACUCGAAAUGCGGUAGCCAGUGCAAGCUGGGCAAGGGUUCGAAUCCCUUUCUCUCCGCCA
rnacentral:tRNA from 2 species